rnacentral:lncRNA from 1 species
CGAGCAGCACUCAUUUGAUCAGGCACAGCCGGUCUGAACGGUUCGUCUUAAAAAUAAUCGCUCUAUGUCGAUUAGCACUUGGUGGUAUCCACAUACACUGAGAGAUUGGUUUCCUGAAGCAGUACAAAAGUGAAACACAAAAUCGCACAACAAUGCAAAGAGAUUGCAAACAGACACAAGUCAGACGGUUAGCUUAUCGGACGGCUGGUCAGCUGGGCAUGGCAUUAGUUCUUCGCCGACUACAAGGCGUAGAUGGUGGACAGCUGAUAUACAAAUUUCGUGGAUAUAUUCAGUGUUGCUUCAGCUAAACAACUAAAAACUACAUAAGAAGCAAGAAAUCAAAAGAAACCUCAUGGCUACUUGGACUUUGACAGUCUCAUGGGCGUUGUUGCAAGUGUCGACAAUUAGUAUACUCGUAUGUACAAUGUACAUAUGUAGAAACGUACACGCUUAUCGGAUAAUUUUCGGCAUUAUUUAAAUAUUGAAAAAUAUUCUAUUGUUGCCGUGUGUACUUGUUUGCUUUGUUAUUAUCGUCAUCGCCAUCGUCAUAUGACGGGCGGCAUUGCGGCAAACGACAAACAGCCAUUGUGCACUACGGUUCAGUGUUUGUGCACAUGUAUUACAUACAUAUAUACGCGUAUGAACAAUUGUGUAUAUACACGUACAUAUAAGCGGCGACAUCGGUCUGAAUGUGCCCGUGUUCCCGUGUGCAAUUCUGUGUGUGACUGUGAGAAACUGCUCCUACAAAUCGCAACCGCAAUCGCAAUGGCAAAAUACUCGGACGCACACUAGUGUAGGUGCGCGCAUACGUGAGCAAAUGAAGAAAAGGCUAAGAAGAUAGAAAAAUUAAAGAAAGACAAUUCAAUCGGAAGUGCACUUCGACCGGAAAAAGCCAUGGAAUUGUGAAAUUCAGCGAUGGCGAUGGUCUCCAGCUUCGGAAACGAUGCAGUGUUGGUAAAGGAAGUAGUGAGCAAUGCACAUUACAUUAUAGUGAGACUAACGCAACCGACAACAUUGGCGGUAUCAAAUUUGCACUUUGUUGGUUGUUUAGUGUAGAUAGAAAUUUCUCGAUCGGUAGUAACCGGUAGUAGCAACGGUAUAGCUUGCUCGAACAUUCGAUUAUCUAUUUGUGGGAAUCAAGAACUUCCUGUGUGGAUGGAUGGAUUAUUUUUAGCUGAUUUAAAACAGACUGUGUAUGAAUGACUACGGCAUUGGCCACAGUGGUGACUAAAUUAUUUGGUGACGCAAGUGUGCACAGAAAAUUAUACAUAUACGCCUGCUUGUUAAGCUGGUACGAGAAAUGCUAGUGAAAACCUAGAAACUAGUGCCACCACGUCAAAGCGCCAGAGCAUCGGCAUAUUCAAGAGUAAAAUGGCAAAAUUUCGAUGUGAUAAAUACGCAUUCGGAGCAGCAGCUAAAGAGUGAGGAUAAAUAAGCAAGUAAGAAAUAACAAAGUUCGACUGGGGCCGAAAAUUAGAUACUUGACGAGGGUAAUUGUGAACCUAUGUAUGCCUGCCCGUUUUUUUUAAUUUUUUUUUAUUUUUUGGGAAAGUACAACAUUAAAAAAUCAGGAAAAUAUUUGUUAACUGAAGAAUUCAGAGUGAAAAUUCUAUUUGCUUGAGCUAUUGGAUUGAACUUUGUCCGCUGACGAAAAUAGAUGUACUACAAUCGGAGAUUGGGCACGCCCAUUUAAGUAAGGAAGCUAAGUGAUAAAAUUUGUCGCAUUGUGUGGCCAAGGUUCGAGGGUACUUUUGUUGUGGGCCUUGUUACGAGAGGUGACAUGACUUAUUUUCAGUUUUCAAAAGCCUCUCAUUAUUAGUAACUAGAAUGCUGGGAGACACGGACGGGUAAACAGGCAGACACGGCUGAAUGGAAUGUGUGUACACAUUGGUAUAUACAUAUAAACAGUUUGAUUUAUGCUGUAAAGUAAAACUUCGUAGAUAAACAAACCUAAUAUACUUCCGUAGACGAGUACCUGGGUAUACUUAAUAAAUAGAUUUAUAUGCUGCGUGCAAUAAAUCAUUUCAGUAUGUACAUAUGUACGUGUGUACGUGCGUGAAGAUAUGCAUAGGAAUGUAGAACAUAUGUGCAGUAGCAGACAAUAUUACUCUUCAUAUUUUUGAAUUUUAUCCGAAGAAUGCCACCGCAGAGGGAUGUGUAGUAUGCCGGCUAAGCGAUAGCACCAGUAUUACGUACAUACAUACAUAUAUACAUAUUUGUAUAUACAUAUGUAUGCAGAAAAUGGCCAGAAGGAGGAGGACAGCAGUGAAACCCACAUGUCUGAACGACAUGUAUCUGAAAAAUUAAUUUUAGAUUGUAAUUUGCCAACUACAUACAGAGACGGCAAAAAGUCAGAAAAUGAAAAAGACGUGAGCACAUCGUGAUUUCAUACGAAAAGUGGUGGUAUAUGAGCAAUUGGAAUGCGGUCGGUUGAGGAAAAAACAGCAAAACAGUAGAAUAGCAGAGAAAGAACCAAGAAACAUCAGCAGAAAUCGAACUAUAUAGAAUGGCGUAAAUGACAAAAAUAUAAGACAUAAAAUUCUUGAGUAAUGGAGCAUGUGAAUAUCUGUAUGCGAGUGAGUUAAAUGGGGGAAGAGUGGCAAAUUUUCGUUUUUAAAAUAAGCGGAGUUAUUUGCAUAUGUGUAUUGGGGGAGUGGAUACAAGAUAAGCUAAAUUUAAUUCUUUUGCAAAUGAGACAAAAUUUAUUGCCUUAAAAAAUACAUUGUUUUUUUAUAAAAAAUUAAAGGGAAUACUAGUUCAGGAACCGAUUAUAAUUUGCAAUUGACUUUAAAAGAUGUAGAGUAAUGAAUCUAUUGAGUUGGCUAAGCAAUACACAGCAAGUCACAGACAUUAUUAUGGCUGCGUAGAAUUAUAGAUGACGUUAGAAGGCUCUACUCUUUUGUUCUUUUACUACUUUAUACUUCUUCCAGCAAUGACUUCUCACCACCCGGCGUAAAGUUUUGCUCAUACUGGCAUAUAAUUUUAUAUAUAUAUAUAUCUACAUACAUACAUAAGCGAGCACAAGAGACCGAAGCCAGAUGGAAGACAAUGGAGGCAGACAGACAGAAGCAGCAGCAGCAGCAGCAGCAGCAGCAGCACAACGGCACAGUGACCGGUCUAAAAAUUGUGGACUAAGUUGAGAGCAAACAGCUGUAGCUGUGCCAAAGUGUACGAGUGCAUGGCGCAUACAUGCGAGUAUACAACUACCAAGGUACAAUCUACAUACAUAUGUAUAUUGUAUCUGCGACUCUGUGUAUAUGUAUAUACGCCUUCUUAUCCGCAUAUUCGUGGCAUUCGCGGCUGAUUCGUACAUUUGCCGCGGAAACGGCAGGAAUCAGCGGGUGUUGAAUAAAAGCUUAAGGGAGAGAUAAAGAGUGGUUUAUUAAGAGAGUAAGCAAAUGAGCGAAAGGAGUCACUAGAGAAAGAGACAAUGAGAGCACGAAAGAGACUGUAUGUUGGUGUGCAAAAAAGCUUAUGGUGGGGGUAAGUGCAAGCAGACCAUGCGCAUCCCGAUGCAUCAUUGACUGCAGCAACAACACCAACAUCCGCAUCAUCAUUAUUACUAUCAACGAUUUGGUUAUCGUCUCCGGUAUGCAAUAACUGCUUUACAAUUGUAUACAUACAUAUAAGUAUGUAUUUUAUAUACCCAGAAAAGCCGACAUGUACGACAUAUGUACAUACAUAUACAUGAACAUUGCUACGCCCUGCCGAUAAUGGCACAAACUCCAAGUCAAAAAGAUUGUUGCCCGUGUGCCCCACCCAAGUAAAUGAAAUAUAUUUACCAUCUGUAUUGUGUAUGCAGAUAUUUAUAUAUUAUAUAUACACACAAAUGUACAUAUUUAUGACAUAUCUACAUAUGUAUAUAUGAUAAUAUGGAUGCACACUUAUAUAUGCAGGCUUGAAAUUAAUACAUUUAUAUAUAUAUAUAUAUAUAUGUGGACAUACAUACACACUACCAAUUGUCGUCAUACAUAUUUAUAAUACAAUAUAUGUACUCAAAAAAGCAUGCACAUUAGGGUCGUACAAGAAUUUUCAUUUUACAAGAACGGGCAAAUUUUGAAGAAUUCAUACCUCUUAAUUUAAAUUCUGAAAAUACACAUGCACUUAAUUUGAAUUCCUAAAACUUUUCGAAAAUAUAAAUCUUGUUGUAUUCGCCCAUUCUAAAGUUAAUGUUUAAUAGAAACCAACUGUUUUGGACUACCCUAAUGUAGAUGCAUCCGAAUGUAUGUUUGAGCAAACUUAAGUACCAGACAUUUUUCCUUUGUCUGCCAUUCUGCUUUCAAACAUUUUGCCAAUGUACCAAUCGACUGUAGUCAAACCAACGAGGCAUUGAAGUCACCAGUCUCCAAUACGUUAACAAUUUUGAACUUUCUUAUGUAUGUGCAUAGGUACACUUACACAUACAUAUGUGCAUGCUGGUUUGGUGGUUAUUUGUGGUACAUAUGAUUAUUAUGAGCCCCACACACAUCCAUCCAUACUCUCACAUAAAUUUCCGCGACAUUCAAAAUAUUGCCAAUUACUCAUUAUAGCACUCAGCGCAAUCGUGAAUCGUCGUCACUCCAUUCCAUUCCAUUCCGUCCAUACCUCCAUCGUCUAUACGAGCGAUUUCGCUUAGGUCCCGACUGCAGUCAAAUGAAUUUACAUACAUAUGGAUACAUUUAACUAAUAAGUACAACAAUAAGUACACUAGCAAAUCUUUCAAUACUUCACUCGUACCAAUUGUACCGAGACAACCUGAAAAAUGAUUUCAGGAAAAUUCCAAGUAUUAUUAUAAAGUUUGUUGAAUACCUACAUACAUACAUUUACUUCCCUUAAUUUCUUUACACAACCUAGUGUUAAACCAAAAAAUGCUUACGUAUUCAUUACUUGCUUGCGUACAAAUGUAUUGACCCACCUUCCUCACCUUCUCCACCUCCCCCAUCGGCAACAUUGCCGACCAGCACAACUUUACAGUGUCAUUGAAAUAGUCGUACGACUCGCCAAGAAUUUGCCGAAAUUCAAGGCUUAAACAGUUUGGUUUUGGUCUCUUACUUAUUUAUUCGUCUUCAUGUCUCUAAAUUUCUUGGUGUUCACUUGCCGGUCGGCGCUCACACCGCUCCAUAUUUCUAUAUACAACCAUAGUAUUGGCCAAGAUGGCCAAGAGGUAUGGACGUGCGACGGACGAGGCUUCGAGUUUUGUGGUUCGACUUUCAACAGCAGUGGAACAGUGGCGCGGCGAGUUGAGGCUGAUCGGUUGGCAGCGUGUACCUAACCAACAGCUGUCGCCGACUUGCCGAACGCGUUCAAGCGUAAAACAAAAUUUUGGCAAAAUGAAAAAUGCGAAUUAUAUACAUAUGUAUAUAAAUACAUGCAUACGAACAGCACAAGCAUGUGAAGUGGACUGAGAACGAGAGAGGGCGGUAGCAAUAAGAAAAAUUCGCAAUUCCAAAUUCGCAAAACUCGCGGAUCAUAGAGAGUACACAUUUCGCGAAGCGUGAUCUGAAACUUUGCAAGCAAAUUUCGGUAAAAGUACUAUGGCAGCCAUUAAAGUCGGCACAGUGCGAAAAUGUCUGUCAGCGGUUGAUGAGGUGUGUAUUGUCUUCAUAGCUACCGAUACAGCUGGACUUUAGAGAACUACCGAAGGAAGAUUAAGCCCGAUAUGAAUCAAAGUAUUUGCAGAAAAGGCCAGCUAAGCUACCGUUGGGAUACAGAGCUGUAAUCGAAACAUAAACUUUGCUACUGAUAUAGGAACCUUGACAAUUACCUAUCUACAAAAGUAUCAUGGCCAAACUUGCCUACAUACGUAUGUACAUAUGUACUGAUAUUGUGCACAUAUGAAAUCCGAAGGUGCGCAUGUAGUGGGGCACGUGUCGUUCGUAAAUACUCAUUAAAUUUGGUUUUAUAUUCCUGCUUUUUUCUGCACUCUGGAGAGCGCUCACGACCCUUUGCACACAUAUGUAUGUAUGUAUAUACAAAUGUGUGUUUGUACAUGUACAUCUAUAAACGUGUGAUUGCACCUCACCACCAUAUGUUUGAAAUCAUAAAGCCAUCGGACAAGGCGACCGUAGUAGUGGCAGCAGAGCUCGGCAACCCACGACGGUGUGGACCGCGAUCGCUACAUACAGAGGUGAAGCACAUAUAUCGUCGACAAUGUGCGAAUUUAUAUGCGAGCAUGACCAAAGCGAUCAUUUGGUUAGUAACAGCUUAGAGCCCGGGCGGCAACACCACAAGUGAUCUUCGACGCUGUGCAUGUUGCCUUCGCUUGCUCGGACGGCACAAAAGUACUUGCCUACGUGUGUGUGUGUGUAUAUGUGUGAAAGAGUGUGUGUGUGUGUAUAUGUGUGAAAGAGUGUGUGUGUGUGUAUAUGUGUGUGUAUGAGUGUGUGUAUAUGUAUGGCUGGGAGGAAGGCGACCAAAAGCGAAAUCGAUCUACAACAUCAACGACAAGAUGAGAGCAAUUCAAAUUUAGAAUAUCAGGGGUCGCUACAUCUUUAAGUGGUGCAAAUGUAUUGAAAUGGAGACAAGUAGAAAAAACACGAAGCAAGAUUAAGUUUAUUCCAACUAAAGCAACUCCGAUGGAGGAUGGAGUUCGUUUCCUUAAUUAGCGGAAGUAAAUUCAUUACGGGCAAACAAGUGAGUAGCAAGGCAUUCACGGAAAUGCCAGUUAGAUGAUGUCAUAAAGCAAAAUUUGUGCGAAUAUAUUAUCACCGUGUUGGUAUGCCGAUAUAUACAUAUGUAUGAAAAACGUGCGUGCGAGUGUGGGUCGCAGAUACCAGUCCGCCAGUAAUUCAUUGUGCCACUGAGACAAGUACGACCAUUUGCAUAAAUUCAUGCUCGAAUCCAGAAGAAUUGUGGGCAGUAAAGAGGUAUAGCAAAGUACAUAUGAACAUGUAUGUAUUGUAUAUUUACUAAAUAGUCAGGUGUUCAGAUAAUAUAAUAUACAUAUAUGUAUGUAAGAACAUGGGUACGUGCUUGAAUAUGUUUCGGUGAAUAUACAAAAAGUAAUUUGUGAAGAGAGGGCCGCAGUAAAAUAUACACAACAGCUGCUGGAGAGCUGAUAAUGUACAUACAAACGUCCAUAUAUUUGUUGGUACUCAUACAUAGGUGAAAAGAAUGGCAUGACUAAUUAAAAAUUCCAGUCGAACUUCGCAAAAUCCACACCAAAAUCUUUUUUGUUUGGCUUUUUUUUCUUUUUUUUAUUUUCAAUCCACCGAUCAGUUUCGACACGAAGCCACACGAAACUGCUUGGCAAUUUAUUGUAUUGCGAUACAUAUCAUGGUUUGAGGGUUUAAGCACUGCUGCAGCCACAAAAAAUGAGCGAAUAGGAAACUCUUUGCUAAACUCUUGAACAAUACAAAAAUUGAGGAUGGAAGUCAAGUGUUUCGAUGUUUUGGUGUUUUGGUGUUUUGGUGUUUGUGCGCAAAUACACUCUUUCUCAGGGUACGUAUGAGUUUUGUUGUUGGUGUGAAGAGAACAUAUUCGGGGAAGAAAUAACUAAAGAGAGUUCAUCAUCAACAGCAGUUAGUCAGCCAGCCAGCAAGCAAGCAAGCCAGCUGAUACAUGGGUUGGUCAGAACAGUGAAUGUUUGCUUGCUAUGAGCUUUUGAAAAUAUUGCGGGCUGGUUACAAGCAGACGCAGCAGUUAUCGUGCCAACAGCGCAGUAGGCAGAGCAACAGCGAAAUGAAUGUGUUUGGAAAAGAGUAUGCGUUUUUUCGUAUGUAUUUAGGCGAUUUGUAUGUGCGAAUGCAAGUCUGACUGAGUAUGUGUGCGCGCGCCAAUGAAGUCAUCCGUAGACCGAGACCAUUCACGGAGCGCUGACAAAGCUGAAGCAGCAGAUCGUUAACCUCAAAGUUUCUCAUAGAGAAACCACAAGGUCGUUUCCUUUAGAUGAUCAACUGCGGUCGACCUACCAUCACGCUGGGAUGUGAUUAUGCGCGGGUAUAGAUGGAUGUGUACAUACAUAGCCACAGCAGCAGUAACUCAUCACAUCAAUACAUCCCAUCAUAUGUACAUAUAUGUGCACACAUCACCCGUAGACAUAAUAACAAUGUAGCUUUUAAUAUUUGAAACUUAAUUAAGUAACAGGCAUCCGAAGACGGAGAAAUGUAAUGUCUGUGGCUAGGAGACUAGUAAAAAGCCAGCCACAAAAACAGGCGAAGUAUUUAGAGGCAAGGAUCAACCUACUUGGGAAAGGCCGUGGUGAGGUAUUUCUCACCGUCUUAUUCAUACCGUUAAUGACCCGUACAAAGAUGGACGAAUGCAAAAAAAAAAUGAUAUGAUGAAAUAUUUUUAUCAUUUAUAAAGGAUACCUGCAUCCGAUGAGCUAACCUCAGCGAAAAACUAAGUUCGUAUAGGCUACUCUAUCAAAAACAAACAAAGCUUCAAUGCUUUUCUUCUCAUGUCAGCGAAACUCUCCGAUCAGCAUCAAAACUCUUCACAGCGUCAAAUGAUAGCCAGCAUGUUUUUAAACCAUAAGGACGGACGAAGAGCGGUCUAUUCAAUUUCAUAUAAGCUAUAAAGUCAGAGGCAGAAAU